ensembl:lncRNA
AUGGACGGUAGCAACAGGGAAGUCAGGAGAAAGGGAAGACUGGGCUGGUUUAUGUUAGGAAAAGCAGGGAGUUGCUCUUAAGAAGAAGUGAUCCCAAAAAGAAAAAGCUGCAGGUCAGAGGAGAGGCAAGGAGGAGUGAGCUUCAGGGAAGUUUGGGAAAGUUUCUAAAGAUGGGGAGCUAUAGAGCUAUCUCUCUGUGUUGAGUGGCACUAUAGGGGUGAAUGAUUCUGGUGAUUUUUAGAAAUGUGGCUGUGUGAUGUGAGUCAUCCUCCCCUUAGUCUAAGAGACUUCUGUACAGUUAUAUACAUUUUUCAUAUUUUUUUAGACAUUGGAUUAGCCUUUUUGCAAUGAAACUCUGUACUAUGAUUGGCCACAAUGGAAGCUGGAAAUAUUGGGCUACAGGAUGAAUAUGCUUUAAAACUACCAAUCCUUGACAACAUCAUAAUAGUUGGAAUGCAACAUCUAAGAGUUAGCAGCAGGAAAAUAAAAAAGGACUGAAAUGGGAGUCUGAAAGCUUACAAAUGACAGCGUGAUAUUGCUGGGUCAGUUUUCUCAUCUCUAAGCUCUUAAGUAUCUGAUAGGAGCCUGUGGAGAGGAGUGUCUGCUCUCCUCCUGGCCACUGGAGCCCAAGAUCACAAUGUACACACCUCCAUUUGUUGUGAGGAAUAGAACACCAGCACUUAAGUGAUUGUCCAAGCCAACAUAAUCACCAAAGCAAUAGCCUUGCAUAAUACUCUUGUCAAUACUCAGAUAUCAAGGGCCUUAAAAAAUGAAGGAAAGUAACUGGAAUGAAUACAAAUGCUUGCACCUAGAGAAGCCAAUCCAGAAUUGUUAGCUAACACUGCACUAAUUCCAUGGCUUGGCAAUUCUCUCAACAGGAGAGGAGGGGCUUAGGUUUCUGUAUUCCUCAAGACCCCGUAUGGCCUGGUGAACUUGGAGUUGAUCUAGGACCAAGUAUCCCAGCAUCCUGGACUGACGGCAUGAGCUGGUAUUUCUCUCUCCAGUUCAGAAAUCAGUGGCCAGUCAUUGUUACAGACUCAUCAUCUUCUUCUUCUUCCUGAGAACAUCUAACUCAAAAGAGCACUGCUGUGAAAUACUGUAGGAAAUGUGCAUGCAUUGAGUGCAUUUCAAAAGAACAGUCCUUCAGUUUCAACUAUUUUUAUAUUUGUAGUUGCUUAUCUAUGUACAUGCUUUAUCAUAUUGUGUUAUAAAUAUGGAAAGCCUUCAUUACCCAAGUGUAAUUUGUUUCUGAAAAAGUCCAUUUAAAAUUAAGCCACCUGUAACGUUCCCAGUGGGUUGUCAAAGAAAAACAGUACUAUAUCACAUCACAUAGGACUCAGCAACUAGGAAGAGAAAUACCAGUCAGGACAGAAUACUCAAGAGUAAAGAAGGCAUAUGACAACCUGAAUGCAACAACUAUAAGCACACUUAAGGAAACUCAGCAGUACAAAGAAAAUGUUUCUGGAGUUAGAAAGAAAAAUUAAAGUGAAGAAGAGGCUAACGUUUUUGAUAUUUGAAUUAGAGGCAUGGGUGAGCAAUGUAGAAAAAAAAAAUCCACCCAAAAUAGGAACAAAAUAUCACAGUAAGUACUGGAAAAAAGAUUAGCCUAGGAUUUUAUUCUGAAAAGAAAACGAAAUUGUUUUAAACCAUAGGAAAAUACAUUUAUGUUUUCUUGUUUGUGAAGAGUUCAGGAUAGAAUUGCC